rnacentral:rRNA from 1 species
AUUGAACGCUGGCGGCAUGCCUUACACAUGCAAGCCGAACGGCAGCACGGACUUCGGUCUGGUGGCGAGUGGCGAACGGGUGAGUAAUGCAUCGGAACGUACCCGGUAGUGGGGGAUAACUACCCGAAAGGGUGGCUAAUACCGCAUAUACUGUGCGCAGGAAAGCAGGGGACCUUCGGGCCUUGUGCUACCGGAGCGGCCGAUGUCAGAUUAGGUAGUUGGUGGGGUAACGGCCUACCAAGCCUGCGAUCUGUAGCGGGUCUGAGAGGAUGAUCCGCCACACUGGGACUGAGACACGGCCCAGACUCCUACGGGAGGCAGCAGUGGGGAAUUUUGGACAAUGGGCGCAAGCCUGAUCCAGCCAUGCCGCGUGAGUGAAGAAGGCCUUCGGGUUGUAAAGCUCUUUCGGACGGAAAGAAAUCGCGCAGGCUAAUACCCUGCGCGGAUGACGGUACCGUCAUAAGAAGCACCGGCUAACUACGUGCCAGCCGCCGCCGUAA